rnacentral:tRNA from 2 species
GGAGAGGUGUCCGAGUGGCUGAAGGAGCACGCCUGGAAAGUGUGUAUACGUUAAUAGCGUAUCGAGGGUUCGAAUCCCUCUCUCUCCG